UACGUAGGGUGCAGGCGUUAAUCGGAAUUACUGGGCGUAAAGGGCGCGUAGGCGGUAGCACAAGUCAGUUGUGAAAUCUCCGGGCUUAACUCGGAAAGGUCAACUGAUACUGUGCGACUAGAGUGCAGAAGGGGCAACUGGAAUUCUCGGUGUAGCGGUGAAAUGCGUAGAUAUCGAGAGGAACACCUGCGGCGAAGGCGGGUUGCUGGGCUGACACUGACGCUGAGGCGCGAAAGCCAGGGGAGCGAACGGG
rnacentral:rRNA from 1 species